rfam:Bacillus sp. VT-16-70 Bacillus_obstructivus_contig196, whole genome shotgun sequence.
AAACCUUUUAAAAGCAGUCCAGAGAGGCUGACAAAGGUGGAAACUUUCUAUUGAACCAUUAUGUUGUUCGAUAGGUUGUCUAGCCCUCUUUGUAGCUUCUUGCUAUAAAGAGGGUUUUUAU